rnacentral:rRNA from 2 species
UACGUAGGGUCCGAGCGUUGUCCGGAAUUAUUGGGCGUAAAGAGCUCGUAGGCGGUCCGUUAAGUCGGAAGUGAAAUCUCAAGGCUCAACCUUGAAAUCGCUUUCGAUACUGGCGGACUUGAGGCAGGUAGGGGAAGGUGGAAUUCCUGGUGUAGCGGUGAAAUGCGCAGAUAUCAGGAGGAACACCGGUGGCGAAGGCGGCCUUCUGGGCCUGUUCUGACGCUGAGGAGCGAAAGCGUGGGGAGCAAACAGG